CAUUAAAACCACCAAAUUUUAGAAUAUAUGAUUAUUAUUUAACGAAUAUAAAGUAUAGAAAUGAACGUAAACUAUAUGUUCUUUGUAUGCAAAAAUCAAUCGAUCCAGAGUUAAUCACAUACAUGUGUACAUUAAUGAAUCUGAGACAAAACACUAUCGAUUGAUAGGCGUGCGAUCGAUAGGCCAGUUUUGUUUUAGCGAAAUUGAGAAUAGGUAAAACGAAUUCGAUAAUAUAAACCCUGUUUUCCGUAUAUAUACCAUUAUAAAGAAUUUAAAUUAUGUUUCUUCGUUUUACAUAUCCUAGUGUAUAUAUAUAUUUGUUCUAGAUAUUUCAUCGGUAUCUUUAAAAUAAUCAUACAUUUGCUCUAUAAAGUCGUUCACAGUUAUUUGUUUUUUCAAGAUCAUCGUAUGUUAUUUUUUACAUGCAACGCACGCCACGCGUAUUCAACGAACAUUACAAUAUUGUCGCGAUUAAUUAUUUAGCGUUUGUCGUACUCGAAGUGUCUCGUCUGUUCAGUGUACUUGGAUUUGUAUUUUUUUAUUGAUGUAGAAAAUUGCAGGAAAAGCAGUAGGUAGCUCAGUUUAUUUGUGAAACAAUUAUAGCUACAACAAAGACAAUCGUAGUGAGUGCAUUUACCGUUGCAAUACUAGACGAACUACACGAUGUUGUGGGGCCUGUAUUGGAUCUUGGUGAUGGAACUAUUAAGUUAUUAAAACCGCAUAAUCAUUCCGAGGUAUUUCAUAGAGGCGAUCAGGAAAAAAUGAAAAAUGAAAUACGCUAAAUGUGUCGAGGAACAUUAAUACCACUAAAGCAAAUUUUUGAUGAUGUCUGUAGGAAAUAUCCAGAUGUUGCAGCGUAUUGCUCUUUUGAUACAUUAAGGCCAACCUUGUAAAAGAUACGAGCCAGUAACAAACCAAAAAUUCCACAAACAUUAGAAAUUUUGUACCAGGGGUUACAAAGUUACGAACCUCUACAAAAUGUGAAAAUUCAUUUUGUAAAAUAAAAAUAGGUGAAAGUGCAAUAAUACCUUCAACUGAUGGUUUGUUGAAAAGUUUAUCCAAAGUCAAGGAAUUGUUCAUUGAUGGCACAUUUGCAGUUUUACCCAAAAGACCUCAGACUGGACAGCUCUACACCAUCCAUAUGCGCUACAUGGAUAAUGGUAUUGCGACUAUACCUGUUUUGUGCGAAAAACGAACGGCUUUGUUGUACACCGCUAUAUGGCAAGAAAUAUUUAAUUUAAUUCCUGAAUUGCGAAGUAAUAUAAAGUUCAUAAUGAGUGACUACGAAAUGGCAGCUGUAAUAGCUGUUAGUGAAUUAUUCCCUAAUGCAAAUAUCCAUGGCUGCUGGUUCCAUUAUUGUCAGUGUUUCUCGAAGCAUUCCGCAAUAUGUGGUUCAAUGUGAAUAUAAUAAAUUUUAGAAAAAGUAAGGGACUUUCUCAUCGAUCAAGAACUUGAUUUGAAUCGGUUACAAAACGGUAUAGCAUGUCGAAGACCGCGUACGUAUGCGAAUAUUAAUCCCAAAAAGAGAAUAGCAAAAGCUCAAGCUGAAUAUGAUACUGGAAGGUUCGUCUCACUCGUUCUAUAAUAAGAAUAAUUAUUUUCAUUGUUUACAUGUGUGUAUACAUACAUAUAUCUUUAAUCUUGAUUUACAUAACUUUGUAAAUUAUCUUUGGAAGAGUUAUUACGUAGUUUUCAUUAUGGGGACAGAAUUUUUCAAAUUGAUAAAAUUGAUACUUUGGCAAAUGAAGAUAUUGACGACGAGAUUGCAGAUGCCGAUCAUUUUGCUAAAACAGCUUAUAGUCCAAUGGAAAACGAUUGCAGGGAACAUGAAUUGCCGGUUCUCGCAAAUGGUGUAAACAGAGAGCAGAACGAAACUAGAAAAGCCGAUAUCGAAGUCGUAGACACAAAUAGUCACUGGCACUCAAGCAGUUGCUUGACUCGGAGAUUAUCUGAAAUGUUUAUAGAAAGUGACCUCCAUGCAUCGCAAAAUGCCCAAAAUUUUAACCACGAAAUUGACAUUAGUAACAUUGAUGGUAAUUUAUAUAUACAGGAUGUGUACCAACAGAUGAUAAAACUUGAACUUCCUUUACCAUUUUGCAAUCCGCAGCUUAAUUUUCAAGAUGAUGCUGUCGUUUUUGAAAUUCUUGAUCACGCAGAAGGGCACUGCACAAUGUGUUUUAUUAAUAAAGCUACACAAGUUUUUGUGCCAUGUGGCCAUCUUAUUUUCUGUUUACCAUGUGUCAAACAAUGUAAUUGCCUACAAUGUCCUAUAUGCAACGAUAAAAUUACCAUGCAUCUUACACUUCGUAAACCAUAAAUAUAAAUACUCUUAUUGACAUCUACUAACAUUAAUUUCCCUUAAGGAACAUGGGUAGGGUGGGAUGGGGAGAGUCGGGGCGUGUCGGAUUACGCCACUGACGUCCCUCCCUUACAAUCCUUAAAUAUUCCAUUACUGAUUGUAAGACGAAUCUGAAAAAAAACAUUAAAAUGUUUAAUAAUAAUCUUGCUCAAAGAAGACUUGUGGAAAGAAGAUUGAAAUGAGGAGUUAAUUACCAUUUAUAGCUUUACACUACAAGCAAAUAUAAUUUAAAAUCUAAGUUGAAUUAUUGACUUUCUUCAAUUUUUACUGUUUUAUUGCGUCGUCUGCAUAACGCCUUACUUUUCGUCAUGAGUACUGUGUUUCGUCGAAGAAUUGCAAAUAAAAAAGAAUGUCAUUGACAAUAUAUUGUUGGGCUAUACAUAAGUAAUAUUAUCUAGAGACGCGGUAGCGUCUCGACGCCAAGUCUCAUUAAUAAUAUAACUGUGAUAUCUCCUCACGACUGCAAUAUUUUCUAAAUUUAAAGGCAUUUUUCUCAUGUAAAUCGCAUAUAAGCUUUCGAAUAAAACCAAAAUCAAUCAAACCGGACCACGAACAUUUGAGAUAUCAUAAUAUCAUGUUAUGAAUCUGUCAGAAACGGCAGCGUUCUGUUCUUUAAUUUCUUAUUUAUCAAGGAACUUUUCGUCGACACUUACAAGGGAACAUAUCCAACUGUCACGCGCCGAUUUUGAUCAAAUUUAUGUGGUAGGUAGUUCUCAAACAAAUAUUUGACACGUAUUUCUUUUUAUCGGCAAUCGUCCAUGUUGAAGGGGUGAAAACAGCUCCUAAAGUUCGAGGUGAAAACCAUGUUCUUUUAAAUAUCUAGAAAACUAGAGGAGCUAGGACAAAAUUUUGUUCUUAAUUUAUGCGUCUUUGAAUAGGUAGUUUACUCAUGGUAGAAGAAACUGUUUAUUUUAAAUAAUUUAUUUUUGAAAAAAUGUUUUUUUUUAAUUUACCACACUAAAUAUUGUUUUUCAUUCAUUAAAAUUUAUAUGCGUAAACUACAGGCUUUAAUUAUGGAUACAUAUUUUUGGAAAUUUUGAUUUUUACCAUAUAACAAUAAUUAUAUUAAAUGGAAAAUUCCUUCUUCCGCGGCUCCUUUAUCAUUUUCGUUUCUUAUAAAGUAUACAAGAUUUUAAUUUGAAAUUUUACACACGUCUCUAGUAUUAUCUUAGUAUAAUGUAUAAAUUUGUAUAGAAAGAUUUAUAGAAAAAUAUAAAU